UCCCGAUGACGUGUUUGCUGCUUCUCACU
rnacentral:piRNA from 1 species